rnacentral:rRNA from 1 species
ACUACGGGUGGCAGCAGUGGGGAAUAUUGGGCAAUGGGCGCAAGCCUGACCCAGCAACGCCGCGUGAAGGAAGAAGGCUUUCGGGUUGUAAACUUCUUUUCUCAGGGACGAAGCAAGUGACGGUACCUGAGGAAUAAGCCACGGCUAACUACGUGCCAGCAGCCGCGGUAAUACGUAGGUGGCAAGCGUUAUCCGGAUUUACUGGGUGGAAAGGGCGUGUAGGCGGGGACGCAAGUCAGAUGUGAAAACCACGGGCUCAACCUGUGGCCUGCAUUUGAAACUGUGUUUCUUGAGUACUGGAGAGGCAGACGGAAUUCCUAGUGUAGCGGUGAAAUGCGUAGAUAUUAGGAGGAACACCAGUGGCGAAGGCGGUCUGCUGGACAGCAACUGACGCUGAGGCACGAAAGCGUGGGGAGCAAACAGGAUUAGAUAUCCGAGUAGUC